AACGAACGCUGGCGGCAUGCCUAACACAUGCAAGUCGAACGAGACCUUCGGGUCUAGUGGCGCACGGGUGCGUAACGCGUGGGAACCUGCACUUAGGUUCGGAAUAACUCCCCGAAAGGGGUGCUAAUACCGGAUAAUGUCUUCGGACCAAAGAUUUAUCGCCUUUGGAUGGGCCCGCGUUGGAUUAGCUAGUUGGUAGGGUAAAAGCCUACCAAGGCGACGAUCCAUAGCUGGUCUGAGAGGAUGAUCAGCCACACUGGGACUGCGACACGGCCCAGACUCCUACGGGAGGCAGCAGUGGGGAAUAUUGGACGAUGGGCGAAAGCCUGAUCCAGCAAUGCCGCGUGAGUGAUGAAGGCCUUAGGGUUGUAAAGCUCUUUUACCCGGGAUGAUAAUGACAGUACCGGGAGAAUAAGCUCCGGCUAACUCCGUG
rnacentral:rRNA from 1 species